AUGCCUACUCUAGAGGAAUCUUAUCUCAUCGGGAGAGGGAAUGAAAAAGUGGAAAUCAUCAAACUAAUCUCAAAUAAAGAUCUCCAGCAUUUUCAUGUGAUUUCCUUGUGGGGAAUGGGUGGUAUUGGAAAAACAACACUAGUCACAGAUAUUUAUCAAAGCCAAGAGAUCAGUAGCAUGUUUGAUAAGCGUGCUUGUGUCACAGUCAUGCGCCCUUUCAACUCAGCAACACUCUUGCAGAGUUUAAUUAUGCAAUUCAGAGAUAAGAAUGAAGAUAAAAAUGAGACAGAUUUGAGGAAAUGUUUAGAAGGAAGGAGAUAUUUGCUUGUUCUUGAUGAUCUGUGGUCCAGAGUAGAGUGGGAUGCUAUAAAAGAGUAUUUGCCAGAAACUGCAGCAAGCUGUGUAAUAGUCACCACAAGGGAAGAGAAUAUCGCCAAGCAGUGCUCAAAGAAUAAAAGAAACAUAUACAGGGUCAACCAUCUGGGCCCUAAUGACGCAUGUGCUCUUUUCACCAAAAAGGUAUUUAAGGAGACCAUAAAUUUGGAUGGGCAAUAUCCGGAGUUGGUUGAACAAGCAAAACUGAUAUUGAAGAAGUGCAAAGGACUUCCCCUUGCACUAGUCACCAUAGGUGGCUUCUUGGCAAGCCAACCAAAAACUGGUUUUGAAUGGAGAAAAUUGAAUGAGCAUAUUAGUGCUGAAUUGGAGAUGAAUCCAGCACUUGAGAUCAUAAAAGCAGUCCUUAUGAAAAGCUAUGAUGGUUUACCCUAUUACCUCAAGGCUUGUUUCUUGUAUCUGUCCAUCUUUCCAGAAGACCAGAAGAUUGCACGGAGACGCUUAGUGCGUCGUUGGAUUGCAGAGAGUUACUCAAGUGAGGUGCGUGGCAAGUCAGUGGAGGAAGUAUUGGAGUGUUACUUCAUGGAACUUUUAAGCAGGAGCAUGAUCCUGCCAUCUCAACAGUCAAUUCAUAGUAGGAAAGGAAUUGACUCCUGCCAUGUCCAUGAUCUCAUUCGUGAAAUUGCCAUCUCAAAGGCUAUGGAGGAAAAUCUUGCAUUCACAGAGGAAGGUUGCAGCUUAAAUAACCAAGGCAUGGUGUGUCAUCUUGCUGUAAGCAGCAAUUGGAAGGGGGAUCAGUGUGACUUUGAGAAUAUAGUAGACUUGUCCUGUGUACGAUCACUGACAGUGUUUGGAAAUUGGAGGCCAUUUUACAUU
rnacentral:rRNA from 1 species